UACGAAGGGGGCUAGCGUUGCUCGGAAUCACUGGGCGUAAAGCGCACGUAGGCGGAUUGUUAAGUCAGGGGUGAAAUCCUGGAGCUCAACUCCAGAACUGCCUUUGAUACUGGGAGUCUUGAGUUCGGGAGAGGUGAGUGGAACUGCGAGUGUAGAGGUGAAAUUCGUAGAUAUUCGCAAGAACACCAGUGGCGAAGGCGGCUCACUGGCCCGAUACUGACGCUGAGGUGCGAAAGCGUGGGGAG
rnacentral:rRNA from 1 species